rnacentral:rRNA from 1 species
UACGUAGGGUGCAAGCGUUGUUCGGAAUUAUUGGGCGUAAAGAGCUCGUAGGCGGUUUGUCGCGUCUGCUGUGAAAACCCGAGGCUCAACCUCGGGCCUGCAGUGGGUACGGGCAGACUAGAGUGCGGUAGGGGAGAUUGGAAUUCCUGGUGUAGCGGUGGAAUGCGCAGAUAUCAGGAGGAACACCGAUGGCGAAGGCAGAUCUCUGGGCCGUAACUGACGCUGAGGAGCGAAAGCAUGGGGAGCGAACAGG